AAAAAAUGGCAAGUAUUUUUUUAUUUUUGUGUGUUUAAUGAUAACUGAAUGAAUCAUAAAAAAGAAAAGAAAUAUUAUUGUAGAAGUCUCACUUUAAAGAUCCUUCAGCAAGACAACGGACGGAAACGCACAAGAAAAAUAAAAAUGAAAUCAUAACACUCCUGUACUACAUGAUAAACCGGAUAUAACACCGCAAUCCCCGGAUUUGAUUCCGACUGGACAUGCACGGAAUAUAAUGAAGAAAAAAUAAGAAAUGGAACAGUCAUAGGAAAGGAAACACACUGAAAAUGGUAUGGGAAUCCAUCACAGCAAAACAAAAAAAUGUAUUCAUAUUUCCUUUCCAUGUUCAAUACUAAGAAAAAAAUUCGCUAAAAAAUAUCAAAUAUAAAAAAUAAAAUAGAAUAUUAAAUUUUA